rnacentral:siRNA from 1 species
UAAAUCCUCGACAGCCGUUUCUCU